ensembl:lncRNA
GGGAUUUCCACGUCACAUACAAUGGAAUGAUCAGCUCAGCAGUGGUUCAGAGGAGCCUCAUUGGGCACAAAAAGGACACACAGCAUGCAUGGCUGCUUGUACCAAAGCAGUGCCAUUUUCAUUUGCUUACUAUAGUGGGUCUCAGUUUAGAUCCCUCCAGAAGAAAACUAGGAUCUGGAUGCAAGUAUUUUAUUUGAGAGAUGAACCAGGAAGUACUGUGAGGGGGGAGAAAAAAGGGGAGAAGAAGGACCACUUACAAAGGUGUGCCAGUGUGGACAAUAUCUCUGUAAACAAACAGGAAUCCACUUGGAUGGGAACCCUCUGAGAGACUGUGAAAUACAGCCUAAAAUUUCUUCACUGCAGUGAGCCUAUGAGAAAGGACCAACUCUACAGGAGGGAGGAGUUACUCCACUCUCAGAGGUGCAAAACACUGCCCAGAGGUACUCAGCCACAACACCAAGACAGUGCUGAAGUCAGACCUCAAUAAAGGCAGUGCUUGCUCUUCCAACAGUGUAACACCAUCUGAGGCAUCACGCUAGCCUGGAUAGCUGACAACUGCUGGAUGAUGUAUAAAUUUUCAUGCAUCAGUUUGAAUAAAAUAAACCUGACAAAAUUAAAGAGGACUUUCCACCCUACCCAGGAAGGUGUUGUUCUGUGUUCCCAUCAUAAUUUAAAGGGCAAAUUGAUCAUGCACAGACCGCUUGAUGUCCUACAAAUGAAAGAAGAGAAUGUCCUCAAAUUCCUUUGCAGUAAGAACCCACUCGGAGAAGGUAAUGGCAUACCACUCCAGUGCUCUUGCCUGGAAAAUCCCAUGGACUGCGGAGCCAGGUAGGCUGCAGUC